GACGAACGCUGGCGGCGUGCUUAACACAUGCAAGUCGUACGGUAAGGCCCUUUCGGGGGUACACGAGUGGCGAACGGGUGAGUAACACGUGAGUAACCUGCCCACAACUUUGGGAUAACGCUAGGAAACUGGUGCUAAUACUGGAUAUGUGCUCCUUCUGCAUGGUGGGGGUUGGAAAGCUCCGGCGGUUGUGGAUGGACUCGCGGCCUAUCAGCUUGUUGGUGGGGUAGUGGCCUACCAAGGCGGCGACGGGUAGCCGGCCUGAGAGGGUGACCGGCCACAUUGGGACUGAGAGACGGCCCAGACUCCUACGGGAGGCAGCAGUGGGGAAUAUUGCACAAUGGGCGCGAGCCUGAUGCAGCAACGCCGCGUGCGGGAUGACGGCCUUCGGGUUGUAAACCGCUUUCAGCAGGGACGAAGCUUUUUGUGACGGUACCUGCAGAAGAAGCACCGGCUAACUACGUG
rnacentral:rRNA from 1 species